rnacentral:lncRNA from 1 species
UGCUCAAACUCAAUCAUUUUCAACUCCCUUGAACUGUCAGGGAAAGCCCAUCCUGCAAACUCAUUUGCAAACUCCUCCCAUGAUAGGCUGUCCAACCUUGGGUUCACAUAGUUCUUAAACCACUCUCGGGCCUUCUUGCAUUUUAGUGUGAACCCAGCCAUCUAAAUGGCUCUACUGUCAUCAGCUCCUAUCUCAUCUGUAAUUGUCUUGA